UAUCGAUGCACCAAGUUAUUUUCUACGUAGAGAAACUGUGCGAGACAAGGACAAGGGCGAGGCACCGGUCGCCUUUGCUCACACGGACGCCGCGGUGAUCAGAGGCUGCACACGCCCCCGACGCCGGCCGACCAGGAGUUGCCCCACCUCUCCGUCGUCCCUCUCGGCAACAACGCGACUAGGAUGGACAUCUUCCAACCAUGGCUUGUGCGACGGGGAACAUGAGGUUCAUGUCUUGAUUGUUCCUUCUUCCCUGUUGUUUUCCGUGUGAUAACUUGUUUGUCUCAGCGGCGCAUCCCCUCAUCCUGCGGAACACUGUAUACCCGUUACAACACGCCGCCGCCUCCCUAGCCAGUCCCGCUUCCCCCUUCCCCCUUCCUAUUGAGCCCCUGUGGUGGUGGUGGUGGAUGAAAACAUCUCACCUGGAGGUUGGAGAGGGAUGAAUUGGAGAGGGAGGUGGGAAGACGGGGAGGAGGAUGUAGCCAACGACGGCAAUGCCGUUGCCCACCCCGCCGCCCAGAGUCAUCACGGCAGCACCCUGCCCUCCCUCCCUCCAAGCGUCACUGCUACCAUGGUGUGCUCUCCCUCUCACCGGUGCUUCUACAGCGAGACCCUAGUCGAACGACGGUUGGCAUCGUUUAUUGCAUGGCCUUGCAGAUCUACCACACUGUGCUCACCCUCAUAGUCAUUCGUCAUACCACCUCACGGAAUCGUGAGUUUGGCCGCCACAAGCACGCUCGUGCCACCGCAAGGUCCGUAAUAAGAUUGCUACCAGGGAGUAGAAGGGAAGAUAGGCAGAUCAUGAGGGUCUCCCACUCCUCCAUCCCCAGUGGCAGAUUAGCAGUGGAAUCGGUGUACACAUGAGAACCAAGGCAUCUCUGACUAUAAAAGUUGAUGAGUUGUAGCUGAAAAUUCCGAAUUCCUUCUCAUUUAGAAUCUUCAGCUUACGCUCUUCUAAUUUGCAACAAUUUUCCUCAUCUAAUGACACUCGAUUUUUCUUGCAUGACUAUUGACUAGGCUGAUAACAUGUUCAUGAUGAAAAGACUUAAGAGCGCAGCGGCACUCCAAGCUUCAGAAGUUUUUUUCCUUUCCUUCCAGUUGUUCCAAUGGGAUGUACUUAGAAGGAUCGAGAGUACAGUGUCACAUGCUGGAAGCAAGUCAUUUGAAAUUGAAAAGGAAAAUAUAGCACCUCAAGGAGCCAGAAUAAAAUAAAUCGGAGAAUUGGAUGAGCCAAAGACAAGCAUAUUCAGAAAUAGAGAGUUUACCGGGAUUCUGGGAGAAAAUCCACAUGGCAUCAUGAGGAAAGAGGAGUUGAAGUACGGUAUGGGAUACUAAAUAGUGUAAAUUGUACUUCUAUUUUCUUCUUCAAUUGGAUCUUUCUCUAUGGACCAAUUUAUAUCGUAUACUGAAAUCAUGUUAUAUUAAGAAGUAUCAUGAUAGAGUUAGCUUGUCCAAUGAAUCGAUAUGUUUAACAAUGGGAAUUUGGAGGAUUAAUUAGUUGAAUUAAUGUUCUUCUUUUAACCUAUUAGAGAUCAAAUGGAUGAAACAAUAUACUAUUAUCUUUAUUACAUGGCAACAUGAUUCCACGCUGUUCAUUUUUAAUUUACACAUAGAUAUCGCAAGCAUUGUGUAUUUAUUUAAUGUACGUGUUUUCAAACAUUAUUAUUUAUUUUCAUACAUGCGUUGCACGUGUAAGCUUACUAGUGAAACAAAAACAUUCUAUCAGUUUGGUAGGUCUCGGAGGUGGAUAUCGGGGUCCAAAACGGGAAGUUGUGAAUGGUUGGUAGCUCCGUGCGUUUUUCAACGUAGAAGAUUCUGUUUUGGUUUCCGGUUUGAUAUUCCGUCUUUGUUUUUCCUCUCUGCUUUCAUUUUUCACAGAAAAUUCCAAAAGUUUCCGCUCCGCUUUUGGCUCGCACGACUCGGUAAGGUAUUGUUUACUUCUGCAAAAGGAAAGAGUCUCGCUUUGGUUCUUCGAAAGGAGAAGUAAAAUGUGUGAACAGUUCGUCGCUUUGCACCCAAGGUUUACGAGUCGACAAGUCAACUAGUCGUUUCGAGAUUGAGACUCGUAGAGUAAGCGUGACUAAUUAACACUAGUCAACACGGAAGUUGUGAUUCAUCGACUAGUCGACGCUGAAGUGUAGUCGGCCGUGGAAUUGAGACUCAGACUAGUCUGUAGUCUAUAGUCUUGUCUGGUCCUUGGACUC